rnacentral:rRNA from 1 species
UACGUAGGUGGCAAGCGAUACUCGGAAUCACUAGGCGUAAAGCGCAGGUAGGAGGUUUGGAAAGUCUCUUGUGAAAGCUCCCGGCUCAACUGGGAGAGGUCAAGGGAAACUACCAGGCUAGAGUGCGGUAGAGGUAGCUGGAAUUCCCGGUGUAGCGGUGAAAUGCGUAGAUAUCGGGAGGAAUACCUAUGGCGAAAGCAGGCUACUGGACCGUCACUGACUCUGGAUCUGCGAAAGCCUAGGGGAGCAAACAGG